GACGAACGCUGGCGGCGUGCUUAACACAUGCAAGUCGAGCGGUAAGGCCCUUUCGGGGGUACACGAGCGGCGAACGGGUGAGUAACACGUGGGUGACCUGCCCUCAGCUCUGGGAUAAGCCUGGGAAACCGGGUCUAAUACUGGAUAUGACUCCAUGACGCAUGUUGUGGGGUGGAAAGCCUUGUGCGGCUGAGGAUGGGCCCGCGGCCUAUCAGCUUGUUGGUGGGGUGANGGCCUACCAAGGCGACGACGGGUAGCCGGCCUGAGAGGGCGACCGGCCACACUGGGACUGAGACACGGCCCAGACUCCUACGGGAGGCAGCAGGUGGGGAAUCUUGCGCAAUGGGCGAAAGCCUGACGCAGCGACGCCGCGUGA
rnacentral:rRNA from 1 species